rnacentral:rRNA from 1 species
CCUUAGUACGGCGAGUGAAGCGGCAAAAGCUCAAAUUUGAAAUCUGGUACCUUCGGUGCCCGAGUUGUAAUUUGGAGAGGGCAACUUUGGGGCCGUUCCUUGUCUAUGUUCCUUGGAACAGGACGUCAUAGAGGGUGAGAAUCCCG